rnacentral:rRNA from 1 species
CGAUGAUCCGGUGCUUGCAGCCGGGGAUUAGUGGCGAACGGGUGAGUAACACGUGAGUAACCUGCCCUUGACUCUGGGAUAAGCCUGGGAAACUGGGUCUAAUACCGGAUAUGACUCCUCAUCGCAUGGUGGGGGGUGGAAAGCUUUUGUGGUUUUGGAUGGACUCGCGGCCUAUCAGCUUGUUGGUGAGGUAAUGGCUCACCAAGGCGACGACGGGUAGCCGGCCUGAGAGGGUGACCGGCCACACUGGGACUGAGACACGGCCCAGACUCCUACGGGAGGCAGCAGUGGGGAAUAUUGCACAAUGGGCGCAAGCCUGAUGCAGCGACGCCGCGUGAGGGAUGACGGCCUUCGGGUUGUAAACCUCUUUCAGUAGGGAAGAAGCGAAAGUGACGGUACCUGCAGAAGAAGCGCCGGCUAACUACGUGCCAGCAGCCGCGGUAAUACGUAGGGCGCAAGCGUUAUCCGGAAUUAUUGGGCGUAAAGAGCUCGUAGGCGGUUUGUCGCGUCUGCCGUGAAAGUCCGGGGCUCAACUCCGGAUCUGCGGUGGGUACGGGCAGGCUAGAGUGAUGUAGGGGAGACUGGAAUUCCUGGUGUAGCGGUGAAAUGCGCAGAUAUCAGGAGGAACACCGAUGGCGAAGGCAGGUCUCUGGGCAUUAACUGACGCUGAGGAGCGAAAGCAUGGGGAGCGAACAGGAUUAGAUACCCUGGUAGUCCAUGCCGUAAACGUUGGGCACUAGGUGUGGGGGACAUUCCACGUUUUCCGCGCCGUAGCUAACGCAUUAAGUGCCCCGCCUGGGGAGUAC